CCUAUGGGAGGCAGCAGUGGGGAAUAUUGGACAAUGGAGGAAACUCUGAUCCAGCAAUUCUGUGUGUGUGAAGAAGGUUUUAGGACUGUAAAACACUUUUAGUAGGGAAGAAAAAAAUGACGGUACCUACAGAAGAAGCAACGGCUAAAUACGUGCCAGCAGCCGCGGUAAUACGUAUGUUGCGAGCGUUAUCCGGAAUUAUUGGGCUUAAAGGGCAUCUAGGCGGUAAGACAAGUUGAAGGUGAAAACCUGUGGCUCAACCAUAGGCUUGCCUACAAAACUGUUGAACUAGAGUACUGGAAAGGUGGGUGGAACUACACGAGUAGAGGUGAAAUUCGUAGAUAUGUGUAGGAAUGCCGAUGAUGAAGAUAACUCACUGGACAGAAACUGACGCUGAAGUGCGAAAGCUAGGGGAGCAAACAGGAUUAGAUACCCCAGUAGUCC
rnacentral:rRNA from 1 species